CAAGUCUGCGCCAUUUUCUACCUCUCAUGCAGUACUACACGUCAUGGAGAGAUUUGGCCUGCCACCUGAUGCAAAUGUUAUAUACAAGGAUGCAACAGGGACAGAAGUUGAUGCAGAAAUAUUCAGCGACCUCGUUGGACAAGGCAAUGUGGUCCUGACAGUUUUCUCAGAUCAGGGUGAGAUAUCAAGGCAGACGUCUGACUCAAGCUUCAGCUCAAGUGCAUCAACUAUAAUCCUAGAUGUUCCUAACAAGAGACAAAGAAUUGAGGAUACACGUGAUGCUGUGUCUGCUAAACAGUUGAUAGAAGCUGUGCUCAGAGGCAAGUCUGGAGGUGAAGAUGUACUACAGGAGUACCAAACAACAGAAACCCUAACAGAUGCUGCAAGAAGACAAAUGGUUAAUAUCCUGGUGGCUCACAUGAUUGACAAUCAUGGGCACUGCCCCACUAAAACAAUCAGAGAAGAUUAUGCACGUGGGAUAGUGAUGCUGUUCCCUUCCCUUAAGGAUCCAUACUCCAAGAAGGGCUAUGAACACUUCUAUGAUGCUGCAAGCAGCACAGGAUACAUUUCUUGGCGUCUGAAAACAGUCCAGAGAAAGAUUCGUCAAGGAUCUGCACAGCCACCAAAUGGCCCAAUUGACUUUUCUCCAGGAGGCCCAAAUUGCCAAAGGACUGUUAAUGUUGAACGGCAGCUUGAUGAUGAUGCUUGCCAAGAGGCCAUGUCUUUGCUUAACCAUACAGCAGACAAUUUCCUGAUUUUCCAGAAGAUGAGAGAGACCUUUCAGCAUCGUCAGAAGCUUGUUAAUGACCCAGGCAGAAGUGUUGAUAUACUCUCCAGCUUCCCAAGAUUCCUGGAUACAAAAGGAUUGGUGGACCAAGACUUCCCUCUCCUAUUUGACGAAGACACAUCCUCCAGACUUCUUCAGAAAUGGGAUUUGUUCUUCAAGCCAAAUGUCAUUAAAGAGGCUAAGCGGCUCCUUUCACCACCUCCAGGGGGACUGAAGUCUCCAAAAAUUAGUGCAUGUGAUGCAGUUGAAAG
ensembl:lncRNA